rnacentral:pre_miRNA from 1 species
CUCUGCGGGCAGGGGUCCCUCAGCCUGGAUUGCAAGAGGGCACAGGCCAGGCCGAGGGACCCCACCAGUGUACA